rnacentral:lncRNA from 1 species
CCUUGGUGCCCGUCUUCGCCCAUUUGCGCAUUUUCCUUUAAACUAUCGUGCCCAGCGCCUGCGUGGCAGCCCUGUCUCUUCUGGGGACCCCUGGGCUGGAGUGGAUAGGGCUGCGCCCACUGGGCAAACUCCGCAGUCUCCGGGCCAUUGAGAGACAGACUCCCGAGCAGGCGCCCUGCGGGGUCUCCACGAGGUCCUGGGGGAGCCCUGGAAGCGGGUCCCUGGGCAGGGGACCCAAGACCCCAUCUCUAACUGGAGGACUGAGCCGCCUCCUCCCUCUGGAGACCUGCCCCCGGAUGCCCCGCCCCUUUUUCGUGACCCCCACCUGACCCGGAAGCCAGGCCCGACUGUCUCCAGAAGGACUUGGAGCAGAGGGAAGAGUUCCUCUUGUGUGCUUCUCUUCCCGCUGCGUCCCGCGACUCUGCCUACACGCCUCUGGCCGACCACCCCGUGCCGUGGAGACCCUCGACUUGCUGGCCUUGUGGUGAAGCAACAGGAGCAGGCAAGGGAAAUGAAAGAAAAAAUAAACAAAUGGGGCACAUCCAACUAAAAAGCUUCUGCGUGGCAAAAGAAACCAUCACAAAAUGAAAAGAUGACUUAUCAGUUGGGAGAAGAUAUUUGCACGUCAUAUACCUGAUGACAGGGUAGAUGUCUUUUGCUGCUUGAAACUUGGCAUUUCUGAAACGCACUCAGUAUGUAAAUAUCUAUCUACUCUAGGAACAUGUACCAAUGUUUGACUGUUUCCUAGAAAUAUGCUCACUACUAAGCAAUCUGUUCAGGCUACUACUCUGCUGUGGAAGAUUCCCCUUCUCUGAAUGAGAGGCAGAAAGGCACCUCCCGUCAUGGAGAAGGUCAUCAGUAUUUGUAUCUAUAGUUCCUGGGAGUUUUGUGGAAUGUCAGUGUAUUAAUCUAUCUGAAGCUAAUUUAAAUAACGUCAUUAUCAUAAUUAAAAGUCAAAACCUUUACGUGAGGUUAAAUCAGAGAGAUCUCUUUCCUGGCUUGGCUGAAAAUACUAAGCCACAAAUGUUUCCUCUACACACCCCAUCUCCUUCUGCCAGUAACUCUUAAUUACUAAUGCACAUUGUUAGCUCCCCUCCACUUCAAAAAAUUUAAGUGCUUCUUGUGUAGGCAAUUUCAAAGAGAUCCAGAAGAAUCUAAUUAUGCUGAAAAUUUAAAUCCACCAUAUUUUCAGUGUCUUCCAAGUAUUUGGCAGAGGGUUAUCUACCAUUGCUGAUAUAAAUCAACUCUAAAAUAUUAUCCUGUUUCGCUUUAUUCUAAGUUUUGUAAUAAAAUGAAAUGCAGGUGUGUCUGGGGAAUUACAAAUGUGACCUUUUAAACAGUACUAUGUUGCACCCAAUUCUACAGUGAUAUUUUGAAAUAUGUGAUUAUCGAUUUGCUACUUUUUAUAUUUCUAAUAACUUUAACAUCUCCUAAAUGCCCUGCACUUACCAAUCAGUAAAGCACUAGCCAAAUGAAUCAGAUAGCAAUAAUUAGCCUAGUGCACACGUUUUCUGAGUAAUAGAAGGGAUUCAGGAUAAAAUAAACCUGUAUAGUAUGUUUUCUAUACUUUGCUAAAUGAUCAGAGAGAUUUCUACCCUAUGUUUGCUAACCUUCUUAUUGUAGGCAGAAUUCUGGUAUUAAAGAGCAGCAUUCUAAAAACUCAAGAUAAUUGGGCACUCUCAAUUCAGAGGUUUUUGCAAAUCCAUGAAUAAUUGCACAUAGUUAUGUGUGUAUAUACCAAAAGUCUUAAGACUCACUUACCUCCUGUGGGUUUAGUACUCGAGAUACAAGAAAUGAAAACGAGGGAAAUGAUUUAUCACUGAGAUUCCCAUAUUUAUGAAAGAUAUGUAUACCAAAUUGAUACUCCAGUAAGUGGCCUAUCUUUAAAAAAUAAAAUUAAAAAUGGAUUAUCCAUUGAUUGUGAUAAUUUCCAAGAAUUUUGUGAAGGAAAGGCUGAUUGACUAUGGGCAGUUAUUAAGUAAAAGAAAAAGAUAUAUUGAUAUUUAUGGUAACUAAUAGUAUCAUUAAAAUUCAAUACGAAAUGGAGACCAGACUUGAGAAUUUUCUGAGCAGACAAAACCGUUUAAGCCACAUAAACAAAACUACAUUUAGCUUAUUUCAUGAACAUAAGCAAAAUUUAACGUAGGUUAUUUCUUGUAAAUGCCUCUUAUAACCAUAAAAGAAACUUAUGUCAUUUUCCUAAAAUGAUACAAGAUAAUCACUUUUAACCAAUACCCUGCAGUCUGGAAACUCCCACUGUAAUAACUCACUAUGGUAAAGGUUAAACAACUUCCUCAUUUUCACUUUAUAAGCCGUUCUGUAACGUCACACCUCUGAACUUCAUAUCAUUUUGGGAUUUGAAAGCUUGCAGUUGGUGAACUGUUCUUAUUUGCACAGUAAACUCUUACUAAAUACUGUUUUACUGGCCUGGUUUUCUUUUUUACUGUUUCUGGAUUUUUGAAAGUCUUACUGGAUCUUUCCAGACUCUUAAAAAAACUCAUUCUCAAUAUAUCUCCUCUAUAUUUUCUGCUUUUAAAUUUUUUUACUAAUGUCUUCUAUUGCUAUGGUACGUUUGUCAUAACUAAGGAGCUAAUAUUGAUAUUAUUAUUAAACUCAAGUCCAUACUUUAUUUGGGUUUCCUUAGUUUUUACCUAACGUCUUCUUUCUGCUCCAGGAUGCCAUCCAGAGACACCGUAGGAGAUUUAGUCACCAUGUCUUUCUUCUUAGUCUCUUCUAGCUCAGUUCUCAGACUUUCCUUGUUUGUUGAUAACCUUGAAAGUUUGAGGAGUACUGGUCAGCUAUUUUGUAGAAUUCCUUUUAAUUUUUUUUUCCCUGAUGCUUUUCUCAUGAUUACACUCAGGUUGUAGUUUUUUGGAACUGCCAUUCCCAUCACUUCAAAUCAAGAGUACACUCUAUUAACAUGUCAUUAAUGGUGUUAAUCUUGGUGACUGGGUUUUCCAGGUUUCUCUACUAUAACUCUUCUCUUUUCCCCCCUUUUCCACACUGUACUCGUUGGAAG